CCUACGGGCGGCAGCAGUGAGGAAUAUUGGUCAAUGGACGCAAGUCUGAACCAGCCAUGCCGCGUGCAGGAAGACGGCCCUAUGAGUUGUAAACUGCUUUUGUACGAGGGUAAAUCCCGAUACGUGUAUCGGGUUGAAAGUAUCGUACGAAUAAGGAUCGGCUAACUCCGUGCCAGCAGCCGCGGUAAUACGGAGGAUUCAAGCGUUAUCCGGAUUUAUUGGGUUUAAAGGGUGCGUAGGCGGUUCGAUAAGUCAGAUGUGAAAGCUCGGGGCUCAACUCCGGCACUGCAUCUGAUACUGGCGGGCUAGAGUUUAGUUGCGGUAGGCGGAAUGUAUGGUGUAGCGGUGAAAUGCAUAGAGAUCAUACAGAACACCGAUUGCGAAGGCAGCUUACCAAACUGCGACUGACGUUGAGGCACGAAAGCGUGGGGAGCAAACAGGAUUAGAUACCCCUGUAGUC
rnacentral:rRNA from 1 species